rnacentral:misc_RNA from 1 species
AUUGUACCCAUGUACCUGGACAACAGAAGUUUCCAACAUCAAGUUAUCAACACAAAAAGCAAAUGUGCAUGGCAUAACAGAAUGCGUCAUAUAGAGGCAGCAGUUUCAUGGCACAUACACAGCAUGCAUUUCAAAUGAUUUUGGUGCCGUACUAUCACAGAAAGCACAUAAACAAUGUUUCAAACAAUUUCUAUUUAAUACAUUGUUUCCUCACCAGCAAAUGAUUAUAUGUAAAUAUAUUUUCAGAUUUGUGGAUGCCACAGCUUGAGAUCCCAGCCAUGUCCCCAAAUAAAAUAUGCAUGCAUUCCAUAUAACCCUAAGGUGACAAGGUUAACAAGGGG